CUAAGUAUAUACUCUGCUCCUCUCUUCAUCUCUUACCCGAUCCCCAAUUCCAGUGCCGCCUAGUUGCCCCUCUCCCUUCUCUCUACGUCAUCGUCGACCAUCAAGGUUGGACGCCAACCGCGAGAUAUCAGUGAUCCACUCUUGUGUGCCACUGCAUCCUCUCCGUCCUGACUCUGCUAUGCAUCCUUUGCCAUAAUGCCACCAGAUUUUGAUUUGAGCCAAUGUCGUUUAAUCCAUCGUCGGUCGAGCUUUCCUCCUCCACCGAUCACCUAAUUUUUUCCGGUGAUUGUCCUUCUCGCCGAGUCGCCACCCGUGCGGGCGGAUCUUCAGCCAAGAGGGAAAGCUUGAGCCCUAGCAUCGAACUUCCCUCGCCGCACUUGCGUGCCAGAGCACCGACCAUCGGAAUCCUCUGCUCCAGCUAAUCAUUGCUGGAGAUCGAGCUCUCUCACUCCAGAUCCUCUCCUCCGCUCAGUGCUAGAUUUCAUUUGGGUCUUGGUCGUCGGUGGCUAGCUACCGCCACCUGAUUCUUCACUAAGGAUAUCCCUCUAUCUUUAGGGAUAGUGUUGGACCUUACCCCUUGGUCCGAAGAGUAGCUUCUGUCCAUGAGAAAGUCCAAGGAUGCAAUGUCUAAAACCUUGCUAAGUUCCUGACCACGACAUUGGAAGGAGGUAGAUGAUACAAUGACACUUAGAGGAUCCUGACUGUCAGUUCCACGACGCAUCCGAUGACGGUUUUCUAAUUUUGUUUCUUAUCUUAUUUAUGUUUUGAAUUUGUGAACUUGGUACUAUAAUAACUCCAUAUGGACUUAGAGUUUAGCUUUGUGGUUUCUUGUAUCUGGUUUGAUAUUGUCGUGUCAAGUCGAGUCGGCUCACAGUUAGUUGUUUUGUAGUUUUGUGUUAGCUAUUUUGUGACUUUCGUUGUGUUUUGUUACAACUGUGUAGGCUACUUAUUAUACAACUGCGUGAUUAUAUUCUUUUUAUUCUAGUCAUGUGGACUGUGCAUAUAACUACGUGGUUGUGUAUUUUCCAACAGUGUGGGCCGUUGUUGAUGACUUGUGAGUAGUCUUGUGGCAUUGUAUACAUGUUUCAUUUGUCAUUACUACAGGGGAGGUGUUACCCGAUUUUCGUUAGAAAACCUUCCCUUCGGGGCGUGACAAGGCGCCUCUUCGAGACGUUACUGCGGAUGAUAAUUUAGAGUCCACAUCAACAACACCCCAGGUGCCUAGACCAGUCCAGACGCACGGGUUCCGAUAAAGUGUUAUCAUCAAGCUGUUGUGAGUAGAUAAGGUGCAUCACUGGGGCGUUCGGACUCGAUCCAGGCACUCGAAGUUGCCACGUCAGCCAAUAGUCAAAUCUGACUAGAGGGCUAUAAAAGGAGAGCUUGUUCUCUUUUUCAAAUAACACAUUUUCUGUAAUCUCAUUUCUAAUUCUGUGUUUUUAAUUUACACUUUCAACGCUUGUACGAGAUUUCUCUGCC